UACGGAGGGUGCAAGCGUUAUCCGGAUUCACUGGGUUUAAAGGGUGCGUAGGUGGGCAGGUAAGUCAGUGGUGAAAUCUCUGGGCUUAACUCAGAAACUGCCAUUGAUACUAUCUGUCUUGAAUACCGUGGAGGUCAGCGGAAUAUGUCAUGUAGCGGUGAAAUGCUUAGAUAUGACAUAGAACACCAAUUGCGAAGGCAGCUGGCUACACGAAUAUUGACACUGAUGCACGAAAGCGUGGGAUCAAACAGG
rnacentral:rRNA from 1 species